rnacentral:rRNA from 1 species
UACGUAGGGGGCAAGCGUUAUCCGGAAUUAUUGGGCGUAAAGAGUACGUAGGUGGCUUUACAAGUCCAGGGUGAAAGGCAGUGGCUCAACCAUUGUGAGCCCUGGAAACUGUAAGGCUUGAGUGCAGGAGAGGUAAGUGGAAUUCCUAGUGUAGCGGUGAAAUGCGUAGAUAUUAGGAGGAACACCAGUGGCGAAGGCGACUUACUGGACUGUUACUGACACUGAGGUACGAAAGCGUGGGGAGCGAACAGGAUUAGAUACCCUGGUAGUCCACGCCGUAAACGAUGAGCACUAGGUGUCGGAGUCGCGAGGCUUCGGUGCCGCAGCUAACGCAUUAAGUGCUCCGCCUGGGGAGUACGCACGCAAGUGUAAAACUCAAAGGAAUUGACGGGGACCCGCACAAGCAGCGGAGCAUGUGGUUUAAUUCGAAGCAACGCGAAGAACCUUACCAAGACUUGACAUCCCUCUGACCGCUUUUUAAUCGAAGCUUCUCUUCGGAGCAGAGGUGACAGGUGGUGCAUGGUUGUCGUCAGCUCGUGUCGUGAGAUGUUGGGUUAAGUCCCGCAACGAGCGCAACCCUUAUCUUUAGUUGCCAGCAGUUCGGCUGGGCACUCUAGAGAGACUGCCGGGGAUAACUCGGAGGAAGGUGGGGAUGACGUCAAAUCAUCAUGCCCCUUAUGUCUUGGGCUACACACGUGCUACAAUGGCUGGUACAAUGAGCAGCAAAGGAGUGAUCCGGAGCAAAUCUAUAAAGCCAGUCUCAGUUCGGAUUGUAGGCUGCAACUCGCCUACAUGAAGUCGGAGUUGCUAGUAAUCGUGGAUCAGAACGCCACGGUGAAUGCGUUCCCGGGUCU